UGUGUUUAAUACGGGGUCCAAAGGUCUCAUUUGGUUUUUUUCGCUUGUUUUAAGAGACCCUAUCCCAAGUGAAUAAAUUAUAAACCAACCAACCAACCAACCAACCAAUCAACCAAUCAAUAUGUAUGACAGUUUAUUUAUGACAGUAUAUUUAAAAAAAUAGGGAAGGAAAAAAUUCUCAAUUAUUCAAGAAAAAUUCAAUUUUAAUAUUGUUCUUACAUCUCUUCUGAAAAAAAAUCCACAUGUUCUCUGAAACUACAAGUCCAAUCGACCUAAAAAUUUGCAGUCAGCAGGGCAUACAUGUACAAAAAGUUCGUAAAACAACGG
rnacentral:lncRNA from 1 species